rnacentral:snRNA from 1 species
AUGUAUUAGGCUGUUCUUGCAUAUAUAUUAAAAUUGGAAUGAUACAGAGGAGAUUAGCAUGGCCCCUGUGCAAGGAUGACACACAAAUUUGUGAAGCGUUCUAUAUGUUU